rnacentral:lncRNA from 1 species
CCUGUGCCCGUGACCCACUUCGACAAUUACCAACACAGUUUCUGCUUUUACACACAUUGAUUCGAUGAACAUUUUGUUUGUCUUUGUCCACAUUCCACACUGUUUCCUUUCAUUUAUGCUGAAUUCAAUUCCACUCAAACCACUUCCUCAAACCCUCACAAUGCCCUCCCAGCAUGCCUAGUGAUAUGAUGGAUCCGACCUUGCCCUACCCGGUCUGGUGGGGGCUACCGGUCUGGUGGGGGAGGUGGAUACUGGAUUGGAGUGAUCGGUAGGGAUGGAGGGUGUGUAAGUGGAGAGAGCCCUCACCCUAUUACCCAGGAAGGGCACUUCACACUGGACUCACCCCACCCAGAGAUGCCCAUCCACCUCUGCCCAGCCCUGCCUUUCUCCCCUGCUGCCACACGGAGGCGACAGAGCAACCCUUCCACAGCUGCCUCUGGACGUUCUCCCAUCAGCAACGUGGAUGGGUGGCUGAGGUGGGAUCUGUGCCUUCUGCAGAUGAUCCCGGCCUGGUGAUGGCCCUCUUUUGGGCUGAGACUCCUCACGCGGAAGAUGAUGGAGGUGGAUGUUGUGAGUCCUCUGGUCCUCCAGCACUUCAAUCCAGCCUCCCACGGCAAGCCAGUUCUCGGCAACUGUGUGCCUGGGGUUCCACUCCCAGCACCUGCUUCUGGAUGGCCUGGGGGAUCCACCUGGGUGCCCCUCCACUCCGGGUCCCAGGGGAGACUGACACCCACCCAGGCAACCACCUGCUUGUUACAGAGCCCUGCAGGAGGCAGCUCACCACCCACGAGGAGGGACUUAGGCAGCGGACUUGCUGAGGGGUAAGGGUCUGCCCCAUGAUGCCUCACAGCUCCACCUUCUGGGAGCCACCCACGUGUGGGCAGCCUCAGGGGACUCCAGCUCCAGGAGCAAGAUCGGGUUGUGGAUGGAGGAAGGCAGAGCCUUGUGAGGCAAAUAUUAUCACACUAAUUUCACAAAGGAGGAAGUCAAAGCUGGCCCUGCAGUAUGAAGACUCAAGCCCAGACUUGCUGGCUCCUGCCUGCAUCUCCCUCCACCUGGGUCUCCUGUCUCCCUACCUGCGGAAAGCUCACACUCUGAAUCAUUGUGCAUGGCUCUUACCCCGCCCACCCCAUCCUUGCGGCUGCUCACCUCCUGCAUCACCUGUGCCCACUCAACAGCACACAUGCCCACAAGCUCACAUGCACCAAGAUGGGCGCACUGGGUGCACGGGUGCACAUGCAUAUUCCAGUCCUUACUGCUGCUUAUCAGCUGUGUGACCUUGAGCAAGUCACUUAACCUCUCUGAGCCUCGGUUUUCUCAUCUCACAGGGGUUGUUAUGAGAAUUAAAUAAGAUACUGAGUGUAACAUUUCUAGUACCUUCCCUGGGCAUAGUGCUCAAUAAAGAUUAUCU